UACGGUCGCAUCACGUUGAAACAUUGGUUCUUGUACGUCCACAGAAGUUAAGAAAUGUCGAGCCUGGUCAGUACUUAGAUGGGUUACCAUCAGGGAAUACCAAGUGCUAU